GAUGAAGAACGUAGCGAAAUGCGAUAAGUAAUGUGAAUUGCAGAAUUAAGUGAAUCAUCGAAUCUUUGAACGCACAUUGCGCCCGCCAGCACUCUGGCGGGCAUGCCUGUUCGAGCGUCAUUUCAACCAUCAAGCCCCCAGGGGCUUGUGCUGGGGCCCUGCGGCUGCCCGCAGGCCCUGAAAACCAGUGGCGGGCUCGCUAGUCACACCGAGCGCAGUAGCACAUCUCGCUCAGGGCGUGCGGCGGGCUCCUGCCGUGAAACCCCCCACUGUAACCCCAAAGGUUGACCUCGGAUCAGGUAGGAAUACCCGCUGAACUUAAGCAUAUCAAUAAGCGGAGGA
rnacentral:misc_RNA from 1 species